CACAGUCGGGCCAUCGAAAAUGAGCUAUUGGAUUAUCUGAAACGGAGUCCGGUACAUUGACAGAAGCCAUCUACACUCAAUAACCUCUUCCGAAAAUACGAGUUACUAUUCCUUCUAAGUGAAAAGUAAUAAUCGCGUAAAAUUUUUAUUUUAAAUUAUUUUUCGCUGAAAUUUGACAGGCGGUUUUAAAAUUAAAAUUUAACGAUAACAUUUAAAAAGACGUCAAAUUUAUAUAGAAAAAAAACUCAAUCCUCACAAUUAAUAAGAUGAAAGAGUAUAACAUACUCUCAUAUAGUGCAACAUUCUUUUCCAAAUAAAGCAAUAUUUGUGUAAAUAGUGCAACAUAUGUAUCAUUUGUACAUAUAUUGUAAGAUUUUUAUACUAAAUUACGAAUAAUAUAGUAUAUUACGCGAAAAUAUAUAACAUAUUACAAUAUAUUAUAAAAUUCAUGCAAUAUAUUUAUAAAUGGUGCAUAUAUUGCACUAUUUAUAUAAAAUAUUAAUUUAACUAUUUGUAUAAAAGUUGCAUUAUGAUGAAAGAAUGUUGCACCAUUUAGAUAGUAUAUUGUAUUCUUUUUUUCAAAACUGAAUUGCAUUGUAUAUUAAAUAAAGUGUUAAAUUUCUUAAAAAUCACAACUGCUAAACCAUAAUUGUAUAUACCUUUCUCGAGAGACGAGAAUAUUCAUUUAAGAUAAAAUAAGAAAAUAAAAUAUAAUUAAUAAGAUGAAAGAGUGUAACAUACUCUCAAAUAGUGCAACAUCCUUCACCAAAUAGUGCAAUUUUGUAUAAAUAGUCCAACAUAUGUAUCAUUUGUAUGCAUAUCGCAGGAUUUUUAUACUAAAUUACAAAUAAUAUAGAAUAUUACGUGCAAGUAGUAUAAUAUAUUGCAAUAUAUUAUAAAAAUAUGAAAUAUAUGUAUAAACGGUUAUAUGUUGCACUAUUUGUAUAAAUAUUUACACCAUUUUUGUAAAAGUUGCACUAUUAGGAAAGAAUGUUGCACCAUUUAUAUUGUAUAUUACACUCUUUUUUUUUCAAAAAGUAAAUUGCAUUGUAUAUUAAAUGAAGUGUCAAAAUUAUUGGAAAGGAUAACUGCUAAGUCAUAACUGUAUAUAUACCUUUCUUGAGAGAUGAGAAUCCUUAUUUAAAAUAAAAUAAAAAAGUAUAAUUAAUAAAAUGAAAGAGUGCAACAUCUUUUAAAAUAAUGCAACAUUCUUCUUCGAAUAGUACUAUAUAUGUAUAAAUAGUGCAAAAUAUGCACCGUUUAUACACAUAUUGUAUGAUUUUUAUAAUACAUUGUAAUAUAUUAUACUAUUUCACUACAACAAAAAUGGUGUAUAGCGAUACUUUUAAAUGUCGGUAGAGGUAAAAACAAAUGCUGCUGGCUAAAUUACUGACACUUUUAAAAAAUGUUGCUAUAUGUGGAGUUGCUAGGUAUAUAGUGAUAGUUUAAAAGUGUCGGUAUAACCUAAAAAAAGUGCUGCUAAUUUAUCAAUACUUCUUUAAGCAUUUUAGCAAGUCGGAACUCUACCUCGUUGGCUGCGGUGGCGGAGGAGGAGAAGAGCGAAGGGCUCUUCGUCUAGGAUUUCGGUGGAUUGAGUGAGGGGAGAAACAGAGAUAGUGAUCGAUUUUUCUUUUUUUUUUUUCCUUUUCUGUUUGUAAUCGAGCCGAUGGGCUGGAUGGGAUGAGUUGAAUAGAGUAACCUUUUAUUUUUGGUUGGAUUGGGUUUUAUAUUUAGGACUUAGAAGAUUUUUUUAAAAGUUUUGGCAUAAAUAGGACACUUACACAAAAGUGUCCCAAACAUAUGUCUCUAUAAUCUAAUUUUGUUGUAGUGUUUGUUCGCAAUAUACUAUAUUAUUCGUAAUUUAAUAUAAAAAUUAUGCAAUAUGUGUACAAAUGAUGCAUAUGUUGCACUAUUUACACAAAUAUUGCACUAUUUGAGAGGAUGUUGCAUUAUUUAAAAAGUAUUACAUUCUUUCUUUUUUUUUUUAUUAUUUAAAGUUUUUUAUUUAUAU
rnacentral:lncRNA from 1 species